CAACCGUGUGGUUCCCCACGAUAUGAUUUCAUUGUGGUUUUCUGUCUGAAGAGUAUCCCAGUGUGUACAUGUGGAGCAGCUUCUUUAUCCCUUCAUCUGGGGAUAAGCAGGUCAUGUCCUCCAGGUUUCUGCACGUUGCUGCAGAUGACAUGAUUUCAUGAAUUUCUACAGCCGAAGAGGAUUCCACCGUGUGCUGCAGUUUCUUUAUCCCUUUAUCUGUGCAUGAACAGGACCUGCUGAAGCUCACACCCGUGGACCACCCAGACUGCCUGCGGCUACAGGAUGCCCUCCGCAUCUCCCAGGACUUCUUUCUGGCAUCAGUGUGGACAUUGACCCCGCUGGACUGCAGUCACAGUGGACUCCCAAGGGGCAGUGUACGCAGGUCACACGGUGUGUCAUAGAGACAGGAAAGACUGGGACAGAUGGUUGCAGCCCCAUGGAAGCCCCGCUGACUCUGAGGGUGGCUGAGGGGAAACUCUGGAAAUCCUCAUGGAGUAGAAACCAUCCAGAGCCCAGGUGAGAGGUGGCUGCAGGUCCCCCCAGGACACUUCUGCAGCCCCGACCGAAGGCAGCCCGGGGUCUCCCAUCCCCUGGGUAUAUUUGUUAAAAAUGUGUCCAUCAUAUAUGAAUUUGGGUUUGGUAUUUGGUUCCCUCGUUGUGUCUUGUUCUGUAUUUUUGUGUUAAUGUCAAUACCGUAUUGUUUGGACCACUAUAGCUCUUCUAUGUCAUUUGUAAUCAGGGAGCAUAAUACAUCCAUGUACUUUGUAUUUCCCAGUGGUGAGAUUGCUAGAUGACCUAGUAAUUGUAUUUUUAGUUUGAGGAGGAACUGCCAACUAUUGCUCAUAGUGUGUACACCCAUUUACAUUCCCACCAGUAGUGUCUAAGAGUUUCCCUCUCUGUAAAUUUACACUUGUGAUUGCCUUUUAAAAAUUCUGUUUUUGCUUUUGGCAACAUUCAUUUUAUGUGGAUGGGGACACUGUCUUAGUGUGAUUUGAUUUAAAUUUUUGUGAUGAUUAGUGAUGUGGGCAAGCUUUUUUUUUUUUUACCUGUUCAUUUCCUGCCUUCUUUUCAGAAAUGUCUAUCAGUUCUUUACCCAAGUUUUGUUGGAUUAGUUGGUUUUGUGUAUUUUCCUACUUUAUGUUAGUUUCUGGUAUAUGUCAGAUGAACACCUUCAGCUCCAUGAUUCCUUAUACUUACCGCCUCACAGCAUCCUGUGCUCAUUCUGUCUCUUCCGCUCAAUGACCACUGCCUGUGUCCCAUUCUUCUCCCUCCCCAGGGCAGGGCCCAGACCUCCUGCCUCCCAUGGAAGCCUGGCCCAAUGCGGGGCCAGCCACAUGGCACAGUGUCCAGGGCCUUUCUGAGUGGUGGACAGGCCAGUUGGCAUGGAAAAUGGCGUCUGGGGUUUCUGAGUUGACUGUUGAAUGCAGACUCAACCCACUCAAAACCAGUCACCACCACUGCCACCCAAGCAAGCCACCUGGGAGCCUGGAAAUUGCUCUGCCCACCUCUUGCCAUGGGCACAGACACAUACCAUAGGGAGGACUGCCAACAGACCCAGCCCACCUGCCCCUGGUCCCCAAGGAUGACAUUCAGGGGCCUGGGGAUCACCCCAGCCCACCAACCACAACCUGUGUCCAUGCAGGCUCCCACAGGGCCUAAGGACAGGCUGACCCCUCCCAGAGAACCCCCACCCCACAAGUACCCAAGUACUUCACCCAGGGACCUGGGUAUAGACCUGCCCUGCCCUCCACUUCUGGCAUGUGCUUGCACCAGCAGGGGGCCUAACAACAGGCCAGACCACCUGAUGCCAGCAUCAGGUCCCAUGCCAUCGUGGGACCUGGGGAUCACCCUGCUCUACCCAUGAGCACCAUCAGGGGCCCCGGGGCAGGUUCAUCCCACCUGGCAUAUGUAUGCAUGAACUAGAAAUGUGUUUGCCUGCUGGGCAUGGUGGCUCACGCCUGUGAUCACAGCACUUUGGGAGGCCAAGGCGGGUGGAUCACCUGAGGUCAGGAGUUUGAGACCAGCCUGGCCAACAUGGUGAAACCCUGUCUCUACUAAAAAUACAAAAAUUAGCCAGGCGUGCUGGCAUACGCCUGUAGUCCCAGCUACUCUGGAGGCUGAUGCAGGAGAAUCGCUUGAACUCAGGAGGCGGAGGUUGCAGUGGGCCAAGAUUGCGCCACUGCUCUUCAGCCUGGGGGAUAGAUUAAGACUCCAUCUCAACAGCAAAAAAAAAAGUGAGAAAGAAAAAUGUGUUUGCCUCUGUGAUACUUUCAACAACUCAGAGACAUGGGGAAGCAGUUGAUACGACAUAAAAAAAAGCCCGUGGCAGAUCCAGCUGACAGAUGUGAUGGCAGUUCUGCUGCUAUGAAAGCAGUCUUUCUUUGACAUUAAGGUUUGUCACAGCUCUUGAAAAUUUGGCAGUGAGGUUGAAGGUCUCUCAGAAAUUCCACGGAUCCUUGUAUUGCGUAUGCAUGAAUAAAGUUAGAAAACUUCUUUUAUCUUUCUCUAGAAAUGAAUAUGAACUUGGAUUAACUUUCUGAGUCAGUUCCCUUGGAAACAUGGAAAAGGUGGAAUGUCAUCUGUGUUGGGUUACCAGACUACAAAUAAAAAUGGCCCAGAGUUGGUCAUCAUUAUCUGAAUUGGGAGAGCUAUGAAUGAAUUGUGAAACAAUGGGGGCAUCUCGAGUUAGAGAAGAGUAUUUGCAAUUUUUGAAGUCUGCCAUCAAUUGGACUUUGCUAUUGUUAGAAAUGUUUUGAAGUCUGUGGUCAACUUUUUCGUGGCUGGCUUUGGAGAAAAAAUCAAGAGGUAAACCAUACUUUGGGUUUCCCUGAGCGCAGUGGUGUUUGUAACUAGGCAUGUCCGUUGCUGGGACCCUUGAAAACUUUGACCAUGGGACUGUUAAAAGAAAUCUCAGUUUCUUUUUGGGACACAGGCUUCUAAGCUUGGUAGCCCUGUGCCCACCCAUGUGACCUUGUUGCUUUGCACGUGAGGUGUCACUUGGGGAGCAGGAUCCAGAGAAUAGCUCCUGGCCUGAAGUGUGGACAGCCGUGAGGAUUCCUGCUAAAGACACAGACAGGAUACAUCUGCUGGCACACGGUGUUUCGUGUCUUGUAUCCUUCUACGUGAUACCAAUGGCACUAUUGGCUUCAUGGGGACUAUUUUAGUCGUGUGAAUGUUAGAUGUAUAAGUGAGCUAAGGCCAACCGAGGGCACAGUGGUGUGUCAGUGUCACUAAUCAUCAGAGAAACACAAAUCAAAACCACAAUGAGAUCUCACCCCAGUUAAAACAGGCCUUUGUCAAAAAGACAGGCAAUAAUGAACGCUGGUGAGGUCGUGGGGAAAGGGAAGCCCUCAAACACUGUUGGUGGGAAUGUAAACUCCCGACCUCAAAUGAUCCGCCGGACUUCUCAGCCUCCCAAAGUGCUGCUGAGAUUACAGACGUGAGCCACCAGGCCUGGCCACAAAUGGUAUCGUUUUAUUUUAUAUGCGAUGGUUCAUUUCAAGUAUAUUGAAUACAGUUCCCUUCUGCCUGUUUGUGUUGUAUCACAAAACUCAUACUGAAGCUCUAAAACCAGAGCAUUUGUAAGCCACUCCUGGAUUUUGAAUGGGGCAUGGAUGGACUCAACCUCUUUUAAUUCCUCCAAAGAAUCCCAUGAGAUUUUAAAAAAACUUUCACUUUAGAUUCAAGGGGUACAUGUGCAGGUUUGUUAUGUGGGUAUAUUGUGCAGUGCUAAGCUUUGGGGUAUGAAUGAUCCCCAGCACCCAGACAGGACCCAAUAUGUAGGUUUUCAGUGCUUGCCCCUCUCCCUCUCAGCCCCCUGCGGUUGUCCCCAGUGUCUAUUGUUCCAUCUUGAUGUCCAUGUGUACCCAGUGCUUAGCUCCCACUUGAAGUGAGAACGUGGUAUAUGGUGGCUCACGCCUGUAAUCCCAGCACUUUGGGAAGCCGAGGCGGGCGGAUCACAAAAAAAAAAAAGAUAAAAUAAAUAAAGGCUACAAAUAAACAGUCAGAUGAAGAGAUAAUAUAAGGCAAAGACUGGAAGACUCCCAAGUACAGAAGUUUCUGUCCUAAUGGAGUUGGACACAUGGAUGAGUUGGGUUUUUUUGUUGUUGCCCAGGCUGGAGUACAGUGGCACUAUCUCAGCUCACUGCAGCCUCUGCCUCCCGUGCUCAAGUGAUCGUCCCCCUCAGCCUCCCAAGUAGCAGGGACCACAGGCAUGUGCCACCAUACCCAGCUAAUUUUUUUGUUUAUUUUUGUAGAGAUGGGGUCUCUCUAUAUUGCCCAGGCCGGUGGUGAACUCCUGGGUUCGAGCCAUUCACCCACCUCGCCCUCCGGAAGUGCUGGGAUUAUAGGCAUGAGCCACUGCACCUGGCCGUGGAUGAGUUCUUAUUCACCUUCCUGUCGGCCUCCACAUGAAGCUCCCCAAACCUUGUCCUCUUUGGCCUUGUAAAAAAUAUAUAUAAUUAAAAAAUUAAAGACAGGGUCUUA